GACGAACGCUGGCGGCGUGCUUAACACAUGCAAGUCGAACGCUGAACCCGCUUCGGUGGGGGAUGAGUGGCGAACGGGUGAGUAACACGUGGGCAACCUGCCCCCGGCUCUGGGAUAACUCCAAGAAAUUGGGGCUAAUACCGGAUGUGACCGCUGGCCGCAUGGUCUGGUGGUGGAAAGGGUUUCCGGCUGGGGAUGGGCCCGCGGCCUAUCAGCUUGUUGGUGGGGUAGUGGCCUACCAAGGCGACGACGGGUAGCCGGCCUGAGAGGGUGACCGGCCACACUGGGACUGAGACACGGCCCAGACUCCUACGGGAGGCAGCAGUGGGGAAUAUUGCGCAAUGGGCGGAAGCCUGACGCAGCGACGCCGCGUGGGGGAUGACGGCCUUCGGGUUGUAAACCUCUUGCAGCAGGGACGAAGCGCAAGUGACGGUACCUGCAGAAGAAGCACCGGCCAACUACGUG
rnacentral:rRNA from 1 species